AGAGUUUGAUCCUGGCUCAGAUUGAACGCUGGCGGCAUGCCUUACACAUGCAAGUCGAGCGGCAGCGCGGGGGCAACCCUGGCGGCGAGCGGCGGACGGGUGAGUAAUACAUCGGAACGUGUCCUGUCGUGGGGGAUAACCAGUCGAAAGACUGGCUAAUACCGCAUGAGAUCUCACGAUGAAAGCGGGGGACCGCAAGGCCUCGCGCGACUGGAGCGGCCGAUGUCGGAUUAGCUAGUUGGCGGGGUAAAAGCCCACCAAGGCUACGAUCCGUAGCUGGUUUGAGAGAACGACCAGCCACACUGGGACUGAGACACGGCCCAGACUCCUACGGGAGGCAGCAGUGGGGAAUUUUGGACAAUGGGGGCAACCCUGAUCCAGCCACGCCGCGUGUGUGAAGAAGGCCUUCGGGUUGUAAAGCACUUUCGGCCGGAACGAAAUCGCGCGGGUGAACAUCCCGCGUGGAUGACGUACCGAAGAAGAG
rnacentral:rRNA from 1 species